rnacentral:lncRNA from 1 species
AGUUAUGUAAAAGACCCAGGAGUGCAGCUCGGAGGACUGAGGAGAUUAAAGUGAAGCUUUGAAGCUUUGAAGGAUGCAAACAACAUUUUUCGUGGAAUUCCAAGGUAUUUUUUUGCCCAAUCAGAAGACUAGUUCACUUGCCGUGUGAAGGCAACAGUGGAAUCUUCCCCCUGCCCAAGGAGCUUCUGCUCAAUAUAAGUUUUCAUAACGGGAGUAAUUUAAGACUUCACAACUUAUGUGACACGGAAGAAACAACUUUUGCCUAAAAUACAUAAGGGCCAAAUAUAACAAAAUAUUUGUCUUUUCCAUAAAAAUCUUUAAUAUGAUCGUCAUAUUGUAGUUUCUUUAAAGAAUGCUUGUAUUCUUCGGACCUACUAGGGUGAAUUAAAUGAAAAAAAUUUAAAACACUUAAUUAAGCCUGUCCUCUGGGUAUAAAUUGACCUUUACAUGUUUACCAGAGACACCAAUUUUUUAAAUAGUCAUACCUGGAGUUCCCGUGGCGCAGUGGUUAACGAAUCCGACUAGGAACCAUGAGGUUGCGGGUUCGGUCCCUGCCCUUGCUUAGUGGGUUAAUGAUCCGGCGUUGCCAUGAGCUGCGGUGUAGGUUGCAGACGCGGCUCGGAUCCCGCGUUGCUGUGGCUCUGGCCUAGGCCGGUGGCUACAGCUCCGAUUCGACCCCUAGCCUGGGAACCCCCAUAUGCCGCAGGAGCGGCCCAAGAAAUAGCCAAAAAAAAAAAGAUUGAGUCAUACCUCGGCAGUAUGGUGGGGGGAGGUUGAACUUUGGUGACGUAUACCUAUCCUACAAGGCUGUUGUGAGAAUUACACACGAUAAUGUGGAUAAAAUGCCUGGAACAGAGUAAGUACUUAAUAAAUGUUAGUUCUUCAUCCUUUCAUGUUACUGAUGAUGGCCAAACACACAGUUCUUCCAGAACUUUUAUAUUAGGUCAUAUAAAUAUACAUUUUUAAGCAUUUGGCGAUCUAUCCUGAUUUUAGCAGUGUUAUUUUAUAUUGAUACUUAAGAAAAGCCCCAAUAACAUAUGUUGAAAGUGUAUAGUUUCUCAUUAAGUUAUAGGUUGAUGAUAAUUCAAAAAAUAAUGCAAAGGGUUUUGAAUUUCCUAGUGAAAUGAGACAAGGUUAAACGGUGUUCGAGAGUAGAAUAAUUACAUCAGAAUUCAACUUGCCCCAGUUUUAUUUGUGAAAUUUAAUUUAUCCCAUAAAGAUACUAAAUUGAUAAAGUAUUCUCGUAUUAGUAGAGUCCACUAAGAACAAAGUGGAGGCAUGGAGUCUGGACAUUAGAAAUGAAGGGUGUGCAGGCUGGUACAGCUUGUAGGAGUCAUGGAACUUGGAAGACAAGUUGAAAAGGACCCUGGAAACAUUUGGCUGUAGGCUGAGAAAUGCCUUUGAGAGAGUUAAAGCCGUAAUAAAUAUACCCAAGAUGUUUAAAGAAGAACCUUGUAAAAAGAAAGCAGCCACACUAGACUCCCAGCUGCUAUUCUUUCUGCCAUCCAGUUUAAGCCUCUGCAUGGUUUACAAGGUCUCCCUGUAGACAGUGGAGCAAAUAAUGUAACAGUGAGAGCUCCAGAGCAACUGUCAGGAUGAUUGUCACAGGUAAAGCAUUAAUAAGUAAGCAUAUACCUCCCCAAAGGAGAAAGAGGCUGGGUAGUGGCAGUGAGAGUUGGGGGGGGGGGUUGGUGUUGAUAAUUGAGACCCAGAUGUCAUAUUUUAAAAUGUCCUACUUACCUUUUAAAGUUAUUAACAUGCAUAUAAUGUAGGAAAACUAACAUUUUGGAAAAUUUGGCAUCAGUGAUGAGACUAUAUUAAGACUUUGUAUGCAAGUUAUUGUGCAAAAUUUAAUUGUAACUGCAUGGUCCGUGCUCUCCAAGAGCUUACUGUUCAGAACAAUUGGUGGGUUUGGAGAUUUAGUUAAAUUGCUUACCUGUGAUACUGUUUUCCAUUACUUUUUAUUCAGUAAAUAUAUGUUGGAGACUUGUUAUGUGCCAGGCAUUUUCUUGCCACCAGAGGGAUACAGUGUUGAACAAAACAAAACAAAACCUUCCCUUAAGCUUAAAUUUUAUAGGAGGAAGAGAAAAAAAGACAAAUGACUUUUACUCUCAGCGAGAAGGGAAACAGUGGGUUUUGAGCAGAGGAGCGGCAUGAUUUGAUUUUGUUUUAUCAGUAUGACUCUGGCCUUCAGUUUUGAAAAUAGUGUGAGGUGAGGCAAGGAAGAAUCAGCUGGGAGGCUAUUGCCCUAAAAUCCACACGGUGAUGAUGGAGGCUCAGUUGGCAGAAGUGGUGGUGGAAGUAGGCAGAAUUAUGAUGUUUUUAAGAUAGAGCCAACUGGAUUUGCUGAUGGAUUAGCUAUGGGGUAUGAAGGAAAAAGAACAGUCAGAGAUGACUUGGAGAGUUAAAUCAUCAUUUAUGAAUACGGGGAAUCCUAUAGGAACAUCAGUCUUUUUUUUUUUAAGUUUUAUUGUAGUUGAUUUACAAUGUUGUGAUAAUUUCUGCUGUAUAACAGAGCGAUUUAGCUCUACAUGUACACAUUCAUUCUUUCCCAGAUUCUUUACCCAUACAGAUCAUCACAGAACAUUGGGCAGAGUUCCCUGUGCUACAUAGCAGGUCCCCACUGGAGGAGCAUCAGUCUUAGUGGGGAAGGUCAGGAGGUUGGCAUGGGGUGAUGUUGAGUGUGAAACAUCUAGUAAACAUCCAGGGGGAGAUGUAAAUCUGAAAAUAUGACCCUUGAGUUCAGAGAUGAGGUUUAGUCUCUUGUAGGUGGUUUAUGAAAUGAUGAGACCCAUUGAAAAAAAGUCUGAGGAGUAUCCACUGUGGUUCAGUGGUAACGAACCUGACUAGUAACCAUGAGGACAUGGGUUCGAUUCCUGACCUUACUCAGUGGGUUAAGGAUCCAGAGUUGCUGUAGCUGUGGUGUAGGCCAGCAGCUGCAGCUCUGGUUUGACCUCUAGCCUGGGAACUUCCAUAUGCUGCAGGUGCAGC